rnacentral:lncRNA from 1 species
CCUGAGCGCUCCAACUCAUCGAGGUUAACCAGAGCAAUGUUGGGACCCCGACAGCCCAGCCAGCCUACUCCCGCCUCCCCUGUUCGCCAACAGUGACCACCGCCGCCGUGCCUAUCCUCUGAUCUUGUGGAACCAACCUCCGUCCCCUAUAUCUAGCUAGCCCCGAGCCCCGUCAGUAACUGUGCCUUGCUCAGUGAGCACCAAGACUGCUCCCCAAACCCCCAAUCGAGACGUCUCUGGUCGUCGUGUCCAUCUCCGGUGAAGCUCACCGUUGCCACAGUUUGGUUGAAUUCGAGCUCGCUAGAGC